rnacentral:lncRNA from 1 species
CCAGGAAUGAAUAGAAAACAAAUGGACGCAGUCAGCCAAUGGGAAACCUCUGUGCUCUACUCCAGGUGAUAAAGUAGAUAAUCAUUUUGCAUGGAUCGCGACAAGAUGACUAAUGGACAUUGCUAUGGAUAAAUGACAUGUUCUCAUAAAACUGUUCUGUUCAACUCAACAAGCUUCGUGUGCUGAAGACCUUGCUGUGUUUUCAUAUUCAGCUCCCCGAUUCCAAGAGAGAAAGGGUGUCAAGAUAGUGGUGGGGAGGCCUGACAGAGAAGGGAUGAUUCUUCAGGGUCCCGGGAUCAUUCCAACCAUUUCAAAUUCCGUGCUGUCACUAGAGCAUCAUUAAAAGUCCUUUAAGAAACUGGAGAAUAGACUAGAUCACCAAAGGCAGCAUUGUCCACCUCCUCUCUGCCUUGCUCCAGCGCGUUUUCCUUUCCAGCUGAC